AUCCAACUGACGAGUCUCAAAUGGGACAAAAUUCGCGCAUCCUGGAU
rnacentral:hammerhead_ribozyme from 1 species